rnacentral:rRNA from 1 species
GACGGAGGGUGCAAACGUUGUUCGGAAUCACUGGGCAUAAAGAGCACGUAGGCUGCGCGCUAAGUCAGGUGUGAAAUCCCCCGGCUCAACCGGGGAACUGCACCUGAUACUGGCGUGCUCGAGGACGGUAGGGGUGAGUGGAACUCCAGGUGGAGCGGUGAAAUGCGUAGAUAUCUGGAGGAACACCGGUGGCGAAAGCGGCUCACUGGACCGUCUCUGACGCUGAUGCACGAAAGCUAGGGGAGCAAACGGG